rnacentral:rRNA from 1 species
UAGUCUCGCACAGAUGCAUAUCAAUAAGCGGAGGAAAAGAAACUAACAAGGAUUCCCCUAGUAACGGCGAGUGAAGCGGGAAGAGCUCAAAUUUGAAAUCUUAAAGGGUUUCCCUUUACGAAUUGUAGUUUAAAGAAGUGUUUUCUGUUGAGGUUUUGGUAAAAGUUCUUUGGAAUAGGACAUCAUAGAGGGUGAGAAUCCCGUAUUUGACCUUUACUUUCAACUUUGUGAUACACUUUCAAAGAGUCGGAUUGUUUGGGAAUGCAGUCCAAAAUGGGUGGUAAAUUUCAUCUAAAGCUAAAUAUUGGCGAGAGACCGAUAGCGAACAAGUACCGUGAGGGAAAGAUGAAAGGAACUUUGAAAAGAGAGUUAAACAGUACGUGAAAUUGUCAAAAGGGAAGCGUUUGACACCAGUGUUGUUUUUCUGAAAAUCAAUUAAAGAACUGUUUAUGCUAAGUUGUUUAGACUUUAUCAGCUAACUGUUUAGUUUUGAGCUUUUCUUUAAUGCACUUUUCAGUUAACAAGUCAACAUCAAUUUCCUUUUGCUGUAAAAAAGCUUGAGGAAGGUGGCUUGAGAUUCGUCUUAAGUGUUUAUAGCCUCUUGCCUAUGCAGUCGGAGAGAUUGAGGUCUGCAGCGUAGAUCCUUCGGGGCUAAAUGCAUUUGUGCUAAGUUAUAGCAUUUUAUAGACAACUUGUUGACUAUGAUUUGUCUUGUAGCUUACUCGCUUAUGUUAUUUUACCUACGCUUAGGAUGUUGACGCAUGAGAUAUACGC